rnacentral:lncRNA from 1 species
UUUCAGUUUCGACCUCGUUUGGUCACUGAAAACUGUACCGAACUGUAAUCUUUAUAAGAUAGCUGUCGGAUUUUAUUUCUCACUCUACCGGUGUCAGAAUGAUAUGAAACUUUAAAUCUAGCCUCAUAAAAAUAUUUUUGACUUAUCCUCCAAUUUUUAUAAUUUUCUGAGAUUGUGCAUUUUCUGCUAAUUUAUCUGUCAUGUUUCUAACAGAAAAUUCUAGAUUUUCUGUUUUCAUCCCAAUUUCAGCACAAGUCACUUCUGACUUAUGUUUUAUUUCUAUAAAUCCAAUAAAAAUAGUUUCUCACACUAUUUUUAUUUAUUUUUAUUUUUAUACCAAAAUCUGGUAUGUUACAUCAUCCAACCUCU